CUGUCUCUUCUUUAACUGAGACAACGAGCUGUGUUCUCUGUCUGGUUCUCCAAUAGCUACAACAGUGGAGCCUUCAGCUAGCGGGAAAAGAAAAUCCCAAGGCCUUUGAUCUCUAGUCCCAUCACCUUGAUUGGUCUCCAUGGCAACUACCAUACCGAGGAAUAAUUUGGUGAUCCUGAAUUUAAUGGAAUCUCUCCUCACCCCCACCCCAGAUUGGGUGGGCAAAAAAAAAUCACAAGGUUGAGCAAAGACACUGAGACACCUGCUGACCGGAACGUCGUGGUGUCUCAGGACCAGCCCAAGCACUUUGGAGCACUGAUUUAAUUCCAACCCCAGCAGUAGGAGGUAUGUAUGUUAUUUUCCAUUUAUAGGAGCUGAAACUGAGGUUCCGAUGGCUGAAGUGACUUGCCCAAUUUGCACAACUGGUAGGUGCUGCCACUGAGAUUCAAAUUCAUACUAUGCCAAUUCUCAAGCCCUGUAAUCAAGCAGGGACGCUUUCCUUUCUUCAGCUGUGACAUGUUACUGUCAUUCAGUAACUCAUUCCUUCAACAAAAUAUUAAAAUAUUAUUGAGCACCUACUAGAUGCUAGAUGCUGUCUUGG
rnacentral:lncRNA from 1 species